rfam:Schistosoma haematobium scaffold270_30, whole genome shotgun sequence.
GUCCAACUGAUGAGUCUCAAGUGGGACGAAACACAUGUCCUAGAU